rnacentral:rRNA from 1 species
UUUUGUAUAAUGGGUCAGCGACUUAUAUUCUGUAGCAAGGUUAACCGAAUAGGGGAGCCGGAGGGAAACCGAGUCUUAAUUGGGCGUUAAGUUGCAGGGUAUAGACCCGAAACCCGGUGAUCUAGCCAUGGGCAGGUUGAAGGUUGGGUAACACUAACUGGAGGACCGAACCGACUAAUGUUGAAAAAUUAGCGGAUGACCUGUGGCUGGGGGUGAAAGGCCAAUCAAACCGGGAGAUAGCUGGUUCUCCCCGAAAGCUAUUUAGGUAGCGCCUCGUGAAUUCAUCUCCGGGGGUAGAGCACUGUUUCGGCUAGGGGGCCAUCCCGGCUUACCAACCCGAUGCAAACUGCGAAUACCGGAGAAUGUUAUCACGGGAGACACACGGCGGGUGCUAACGUCCGUCGUGAAGAGGGAAACAACCCAGACCGCCAGCUAAGGUCCCAAAGUCAUGGUUAAGUGGGAAACGAUGUGGGAAGGCCCAGACAGCCAGGAUGUUGGCUUAGAAGCAGCCAUCAUUUAAAGAAAGCGUAAUAGCUCACUGGUCGAGUCGGCCUGCGCGGAAGAUGUAACGGGGCUAAACCAU